rnacentral:lncRNA from 1 species
GUUACAUUGUGCUUAUAGACCCCAGAGUUCAGGACAGGUAGAAAGAAUGAAUAGAACUAUUAAAGAGACCUUAACGAAAUUAAGCUUAGACACCAGAAUAAGAGAUUGGACUAUGCUCGUCCUUAUGCAAUGUUUCAGGCAAGAAAUACUCCCUCUGUUUCUUUGAGUAACCUCACCCCCUGUGAAAUUCUCUAUGGUGCCCCACCUCCAGUAAGGGAACUAAGCCCAACUCUAAAACCUAACCAUCCCUUCCACACCCCCUUGCUUGACAGACUUAAAGCUCUUGAAAGAACUCAGCAAUACCUGUGAAAACAGCUGGCCACUGCCUACCAAACUGGGGAUGAGGGGACUCCACAUCGAAAUCAAGUAAGAGACUUCAUCUACAUAAGACGACAUCAGGUGUCAUCCCUUGAACCCCGCUGGAAAGGACCAUACCAUGUGCUACUUAUAACACCUACAGUGGUAAAGGUAGACAGAAUCACUUCCUGGAUCCAUGCCUCUCAUCUCAAGCCUGCGCCCUGUCCAGAUUCUGGCUGGAAACUGGAAAAGACUGGUAACAAUUACAAUUUGCGUAUUAGCCAUGUGGAUAAGGCUAUAGACUCUCCUCUUGGCCACAAGUAGUCGUAAACCUCAUCAGCCCGUUCAGCAGCGAUGGCUGAUCACAAAUCCUACUGGAAAGGAAGUAUAAUCUAUCUCCCAUACAGCCCCCUUAGGGACCUAGUGGCCAUCUCUCCACCCAGACAUUUGUCAGAUGGCUAUAGGUCUUUCCUAUUGGGAUAUCCCUGAUGAAGAGGAUCCCACUAAAAUUCCAUUAAAUCCCUUCCGUACCAUAGAUAAUGGAAACAAACAUUAUGGAUGUAGGGACACGCGAGCCAGAUGCAGGUUGGCUAGCCUAGAUUACUAUGUUUGCCCAGUAGACUAUCAAAGCCACAAAUAGUCACGGUUAUGUGGGGGAAAAGCUGACUUCUUCUGUAUGUCAUGGGGAUGUGAGCAUACAGGGGCUGCCUGAUGGAACCCAAACUCCUGAUCAAAUUAAGUACACAGCAUUGGCCAUAUUACCAAUUAGAUAACCAAAACUGAUGGCCCCCAGAGGGGUCUCUAGAUCCUCAAAUUCUGUGUGACCUUUUUAACUUCUGCAAGUGCUCAAAAGGGUGAAAAAGAUUCCCCUAUGUGGAGGCCUUUUCCCUCCUUUUGCUCACAUCCUGAACUAUGCUUAUCCAAUAGAUCCUCACCUUCAGCCUUCUGCUCCAGAGUCUCUGUUGUCGCUCCGACCUCAGCAACCUGAUUUCUCCCCUCCAAUUAUUAGAUCAAAAACCCAAACCUCUGCCGGUUCUCAAACCAUUGCCCCCUUGCUGAGGUAUCAGGUACUGAGGUACCCCUCCACCCACUAACUCCUCUCUUCUCCUGUCAGUGCCCGCACUGGGUCCCACCAGGUCUUCUUAUCAGCUAACCCAAAGCUCAAACCAGCUGAGGAGAGCCCUCAGACCCCUAUCCAAGAUGGAAUGAAAAUGGCCUUUAAAGUUGCUUUGUCAUCUCUGAAAACAGUUUACUAAUAAUUUAAAGUCCCUCACAUGUGUUUUGAGAUACUCACUCCCAUCUUCCACUCUGCUCUGCCUGUUCUACUGCUCAAGUUUUUGUUGCUAGGUAAAUCCCAAACCCCUUUCCCAUUAUUCUUUUACAUCUCUCCUUCCUCAUUCUCAGAUCCUCGGAGCUGCUCUCAGCCCCACAUUCCCCGUCUUCCCCCUCUGUACUAGGCCCACAGAAAACUCUUAACUGACCUUCUCCAGAAGUCUUCACCAUGGCUGACUUUAGGACUUUCAGCAAAAAAGUCCCUAUAAAAGAGUUCAAUGUAGAUAAGCUUCCGCUUUUCGUAUUGCCCUGUUCUACUUGGCCACUGGCCAAAAAUAUCAGCACUUCUAAGCUAGACACCCCCUUACUAGUUUUUCACAAAAUAUGUGAACAAGGCCUCUGGCCUUGAGCUGGUGCUUCACAGAGAUGGCUACAUUUCUAAGAUAAAGUAGUUACCAACAGGGCUCCGUGGUAACAGCUGGCAGGGGGAAAAUAAGAAAGGGAAGAAAAAGCUCUCCCCCUGCCAGGUGUCCUUGAAAAGUUAACUUGCCCAGAAGAGAGGAAAAAACACAAACAAAAACUGCUUUUUUGAACUUCUGCAGACUGUGAACUUCUGAUCCCCUUCCCUUACAUGUUGGGUACAAAAUUCUGAAACUACCUAAACUUGAGUUUCAGGGGAUUAAUUGAUUACAACAGAAACAAUGCCCUCUGAAUCCGGUUAGAACCAAAUAGGACUGUAUCCCUGUCUUUGGGACUAUCUUAGGUGCCUUGCCUUGUCCGUCCCUACAACAGCAUAAUUCUAUAUACUUCAACAUUGUUUAGGUUUUCAUGAAAUGGUCAACAGAUGUGAUUAAUUGUGAAAUGGUGCAGAUGUUUCCCAGAGUGCUCUAUCAUGAGGCAGGUUCAUUUGAAUAUCAAAUAGGUGGGCAUACAACCCGGUUCCACUGGGAACAUAUAUCCCUCACUUUAGCCAUCCUAUUAGGAAUAGGAGUUGUGGCACGGGUGGGCACAGGCACCACUGCCCUUGUCCACGGGACACAACAAAUGACAAAAUUAGAAGCAGCAAUAGACGAAAACUAAGAUAUUAGAAACCUCCAUCAGAGCUUUGCAUGAAUCUUGAUACUCACUCUGAAGUUGUUUUACAGAGCAGUCGAGGGUUGGACCUCCUCUUCAUUAGAGAAGAGGGCCUUUGUGCUGCAUUGAGGGAAGAAUGUUGUUUUUAUGCCGACCAUACUGGAGUUGUAAUAAAAUCUAUGAGUAAAUUAAAAAGACACCUUGAAGAGCACAACAAGAGAGAGAGGCCCCAAAAGGGUGGUUUGAUUCUUGGUUCACACAGUCCCCCUGGUUAACUACAUUUUUACCAACCCUGGCCGGUCCAAUAAUAAUCCUCAUAUUAUUGCUAACUAUAAAACCCUGUUUGCUCAACCGUGUAAUUUCUUUUAUCCAGGCUCAAAUUGGACGAGUUAAACUUAUGGUUAUACCCCACUAGCAGACAUAGAAUGUGACACCCCCCAAUGAUGAUUUUUAUGAUUAAAAGUAGCCAGAAGAAGAAGUGGGGAAUGAAAGGUUAAUAAAAUAGGUACUUGUCACUUCCUGUUUUUCUGUAUGCUUAACAAAACACUGUUGAAAUCUUGAGAAAUGCUUGCAAAUUUCCCCAGAAUGUGCUGUCCCCAACUGCCAAACUGCACAAUGUACUCCCUCACCCAGUUGCACGCAAACCGCCCACUCGCCCUGACCCAUCAAUAAACUUCCCUUCCUGCCCUCUCCAG